ensembl:snRNA U6 U6 spliceosomal RNA
AUGCUCGCUUGAGCAGCACAUAUACUAAAAUUGGAACUAUACAGAGAAGAUUAACAUGGCCCCUGUGCAAGGAUGACACGCAAAUCUGUGAAGGAUUCCUUUUUUCC